rnacentral:tRNA from 1 species
CAAACAGCCCCCAGCUUACACCUGGAAGACGUCAUAGCAGACCUUCUUGAG